rnacentral:rRNA from 1 species
CACGUAGGGGGCAAGCGUUGUCCGGAUUUAUUGGGCGUAAAGAGCUCGUAGGCGGCUUAGUAAGUCGGGUGUGAAACCUCCAGGCUCAACCUGGAGACGCCACCCGAUACUGCUGUGGCUAGAGUCCGGUAGGGGAGCGUGGAAUUCCUGGUGUAGCGGUGAAAUGCGCAGAUAUCAGGAGGAACACCAGCGGCGAAGGCGGCGCUCUGGGCCGGUACUGACGCUGAGGAGCGAAAGCGUGGGGAGCGAACAGG